UACGGAGGGAGCUAGCGUUGUUCGGAAUUACUGGGCGUAAAGCGUGCGCAGGCGGCUUCCCAAGUCAGUGGUGAAAGCCCGGAGCUCAACUCCGGAAAUGCCAUUGAAACUGUGAAGCUUGAGAACGAGAGAGGUGAGUGGAAUUCCCAGUGUAGAGGUGAAAUUCGUAGAUAUUGGGAAGAACACCAGUGGCGAAGGCGGCUCACUGGCUCGUAACUGACGCUCAUGCACGAUAGCGUGGGGAUCAAACAGG
rnacentral:rRNA from 1 species